rnacentral:lncRNA from 10 species
CCCUCCAUAUAACCGCCAAUGGAGGAACUGAAGGAGCACUGUAACACCCUCUCUGGGGCUUCCGGGCCAGGACCCCGCACAGAACUUGCUCCUGUUUUGUGCCUGGAGCAGCUAGCUGGGUUCUGCCCUCACUUGUUCACGUGCUCCCUCCUGCAAGGGGUUGAGCCUGGCAGGCCGGCCGAGUAGAGGGGGUGCCCCCGCUGGCAGAGGGGCCGAGAAAAAGGAAUCUGAUGUCAGUGGUCCAUGGAUCACAAUUUGAGAAACUUAGACUGUUUUGACUGUUUUGUCAGAAAUCACCAGAGUUGCUUGAAUCUGGAAACUUAUCUGGAAUUCCCUUGUUACCUGUCACAGGAUUUUAGGCUUAAGGCUGAGAAGAGUUUUUAACAUCAAACAGGGCACAACCCUUGGCUGACCGACUUCCAAGCGGCUUUUAUGGAGCCAGUGUCAAGCAAACGUUUGGGAUGAUGAACCACAGUAAAAGGAACAUCAGGGGUGUGGAGAAGGUGGGAAAGAUUGCAGGAGAAGCAGCCUCAGAAGCUAUCAAGUUGCAUGUUGAAAAGCCAGUGAGGCAGAAAGAAGAUCCACUGACUUCAUCUCCCAAGCCAGGAGGGAGGGGAAAUUCAGCAUUUGGCAUCGACAGGAACAAACUCCCUGAUUGGGAAAU